UACGUAGGGUGCGAGCGUUAAUCGGAAUUACUGGGCGUAAAGAGCGCGCAGGCGGUCGUCCAAGUCGCGUGUGAAAGCCCCCGGCUCAACUGGGGAGGGUCACGCGAUACUGGUCGACUCGAAGGCAGGAGAGGAUCGCGGAAUUCCCGGUGUAGAGGUGAAAUUCGUAGAUAUCGGGAGGAACACCAGUGGCGAAGGCGGCGAUCUGGGAAGAUACUGACGCUGAGGUGCGAAAGCGUGGGGAGCAAACAGG
rnacentral:rRNA from 1 species